AAUGAAAAUCUAACCUAUACUAAAAGGGUUAUAUGAGCAUCAGAGAAGCUGUCCACGUAGGACAAUUAAAUCAGCCAAUCAUUAUGUGACAUCUGUUCACUUUACCGCGUUUCAUUUAUUCUGUUUCCGUUUGGGCUACAUUCUUUGUUAUUGUUUUGGUUUAUAAAGCCCAAUCUUUAAAAAGCAGAGUAAGACGUAUGCCUGAAACGCAGAGUUUUUAAUUCUAUGGUUUCAUCUCAUUCUCUUCUCCGCCGUUGCAAUAUCAUACCCUAGGGUUUUGAUCGAGAUGCUUCAUCUUCUUCCUACGGAUCCAGCAAUCUACCUGUUACAGAUUCUUACUCUUAAAGCCCUUUUUAAAUCCAUCCUCCACGAUGAAGCUCAACGAUUUCUCACUCAAUACUCUCAUCUCUCUUACAAGCGGUGAAGCUCCUCCUACAAAAAGCUAGCCGCUGCACCUCCACCGCCCAGGUCCGUUUGCUUAGGUUCUGGGAAGAUAGGAAUGUUAAGCGCGACAGAGAGGGUCAACAUUCUCUUCAUGGACGCCAAGGCCACUCUCACCUAAGCCACCGUGAACGUCUACCGCUUAAACACAUUCAGACAUCUUUUCACUGUUGGUUAAGUGUACUCUGUUAGCGGCUUUGAGCUGUCCGGACUUCAAGCUGUCCGACUCUCCUGUGUCGAUCCGGUUCAAUAUUGAGACGGGUUUGAAAGACUUAACUGACCCAGGUUCACCAAUUCCUCAAGAACGUUUCAGGUUCUGCAAAGAUGAGUUGCUUGGUCUAGCAAACACCAACACCCAUCUUCCAGGUAACCCUAUUAUUUUUUUUUUGCAAAUAUGUCAUUGAUAAAUCGAUCCACACCGGAAUCUUGGAUGAGAAUCAAGGUAUUUUGUAAUUUAUAUGUAAAGGCUUAUAUAGUUUAUUUCUUAAUAAACAUCAUCCUCACAACUCCUAAUAACACCAGAAACUUCUUUUCUCAUAUAUCCUUCUAGAUAUGAGUUGAUUGAUAAAUUUGUGCAGGAGCAUGGGCUAACUGAAUAGUUCCUCCGUGCCUGUCCUUUUGGUAUAAUGCCUGAUGGAUCAGGCACCAAAUUUUUUAGGUGAAUCCUUAGACGUUAACGACAAUAACAAGUCGGUUUACUGGAGGAGAAGAAGGAGAUAGUGAGAACAAGAAUGAUAUGACAAAGGAGGUGAAGAGCAAAAACAAGCAAGACAAGCGAAGAAGUAGAAAACUAACGAAUGAGACAUAUUGCGGUCGCUAGGAAUAGGAAGCAAAUGAACGAGCAUCUUCGUAACCUCAAGUCUCUUUUGUCUGGAUCCUACGUUCAAUGGAGAGAUCAAGCGUCGAUCAUAGGUGGAAUAGAGUUUGUAAGAGAGCUUGAGCAACUUCUACAAUGCCUAGAGUCACAUGAGUCGUAUAGGAGGAGGAGGAGGGCUCCGGGAAGAAACAGCUGAGAACGAGUCGUGCUUGGCUGAUGUGGAGGUGAAGCUGCUAGAGUUUGAUGCCAUGAUCAAGAAACUUUCAAGAAGAAGACCAGGACAACUUAUUAAGACUAUUGCUUUUUUGGAGGAUCUUCAUCUCUCUAUUCUUCACACUUACAUGACUACCAUGGAGCAAACAGUCCUCUACUCCUUCAAUGUCAAGGCAAGUUUCACCUUUGUACAUUAUACUCUUAGGCAUUCAUAUAUAUAGUACAUCCUCAAAUAAAGUUUUUUACCCAUAUAUUUGGAUUGAUUUAAAUAAAAUAUGCAUAUAUUAGUAACCUACAAGGAAAAGUGGACGUUGAAGGUUUCCUCUCAGCACAAGCUGCCAUAGAUGCAAUUAAGGGCUCCAUGGAUCUUUACGCAGCUAACAUCAAAGCUGGCUUGCAGCGUUAAUGAACAUACCGGUCAAUCUGUUCCUCCAGGUUUGCGUUGAUGCCUUCUCCGGCUCGCUGGAGAACAAACUCACUGUGAGUGGAUCAGUCUCACCGUUGGAUAACAUCCUAUUUUUGAAUUUGAAUUUAAGCCACUUCGUUCAGUGUAUUUUUUCUGCAGAGCUAAUGUGUCUGAAAAUGAGAGGCGAACAGGUCUUUAUGAUUAUCAGGUAUGCUCUCUUUUGUACUUGAAACAACACCUCUAACAAACGACUGGUGAGUGUAUAUGGGAGUAUUUUGGAUGGGUUUUGUUAGAUAGACUGAAAGAUGUCUGUGCAGAGCCAUGAUCAAUAUUCUAAGGCAAGAAACAUGGACGGAUAAUAGAGAAGCGGGAAUAUCCGAAGGAUUCUUUUACAUGCGUUUGGAGAAAAUCUUUAGCUUAGUGGAUGUCUGACUGAUCAAACUUCAGAGUACGCACCAAGGGGCAAGCCUAUGGAACAUCCCAGAUUCAAUACAUAUCAUACUUGGUGAGACAAUAAGUUUAGAAGAUCACAAACAAGUAACUGUUUUUAGGUGUGAGAGAGCUUCUUGAGUAUGAAUGUUAUAAUAACAAAACGGGUUGUAUUGCAGCGAUACUAAUGUGGUUGCUCCAUUCAUAUAUUGAAAUGAAUUUUCAGAUU